rnacentral:rRNA from 1 species
GACGAACGCUGGCGGCGUGCUUAACACAUGCAAGUCGAGCGGUAAGGCCCUUUCGGGGGUACGACGAGCGGCGAACGGGUGAGUAACACGUGGGUGACCUGCCCUCAGCUCUGGGAUAAGCCUGGGAAACCGGGUCUAAUACUGGAUAUGACUCCAUGACGCAUGUUGUGGGGUGGAAAGCCUUGUGCGGCUGAGGAUGGGCCCGCGGCCGAUUAGCUAGUUGGUGGGGAAUGGCCCACCAAGGCGACGAUCGGUAGCUGGUCUGAGAGGACGAUCAGCCACACUGGGACUGAGACACGGCCCAGACUCCUACGGGAGGCAGCAGUGGGGAAUCUUGCGCAAUGGGCGAAAGCCUGACGCAGCGA